CCUCUAUUUUGGCGACCCAACACUUAAGUCCCUCACUUUCUCUUCCGUCCAAUUUCGUAGUCCUUCCGUUCAUUUAAACCGUUUGGUCAAAGAGUCACUCUCACUUUCUCUUCCGUCCAAUUUCGUAGUCCUUCCGUUCAUUUAAACCGUUUGGUCAAAGAGUCAAAAGUGAGAGGUGAUAAUUUUUUCCAGAAAUACCCUUCUCUUAAUGUGAA
rnacentral:lncRNA from 1 species